rnacentral:tRNA from 1 species
UGUGGCUCAGUUGGUAGAGCAUGGUGUUUGCAACGCCAGGGUUGUGGGUUCGAUUCCCACCA